rnacentral:rRNA from 1 species
AGCAACCGCGGUAAUUCCAGCUCCAAUAGCGUAUAUUAAAGUUGUUGCAGUUAAAAAGCUCGUAGUUGAAUUUCGGGAUCAAUAUGUUGGUCGUGCCUUGGUACGUACUAAUUUAUUGGUUUCUUCCUUCUGACGAACCAUGAUGUCAUUAAUUUGGUGUCUUGGGGAAUCAGGACUGUUACUUUGAAAAAAUUAGAGUGUUUAAAGCAGGCUCACGCUUGAAUACAUUAGCAUGGAAUAAUGAAAUAGGACGUUUGAUUCUAUUUUGUUGGUUUCUAGGAUCGACGUAAUGAUUAAUAGGGAUAGUUGGGGGCAUUAGUAUUCAAUUGUCAGAGGUGAAAUUCUUGGAUUUAUUGAAGACUAACUACUGCGAAAGCAUUUGCCAAGGAUGUUUUCAUUAAUCAAGAACGAAAGUUAGGGGAUCGAAGACGAUCAGAUACCGUCGUAGUCUUAACCAUAAACUAUGCCGACUAGGGAUCGGAUGAUGUUAAUUUUCAAUGACUCAUUCGGCGCCUUACGG